rnacentral:misc_RNA from 1 species
GUUGAUCAUUACAGACGCAAAAUGGCGCCGCGUUGAUAAUUUUUGCCGCGCCUACCUCAUUUGUUUUUAUUUGUGAGGCCGACAGAUGAUAAUUGUUACAUGGUUGUGUGAUGCUCCUGCGCUAUCUCUGUUACUGGAACUCAAGUUUUAGUUACAUCGAAUAAUGGCUGACACAUUUGGAAGGUUCCACUGCAACUACUGCCAGGAAAACAUCAAUGGCUUGAGGAUAAAAUGUGUUGAAUGUGAAGAUUUUGACCUAUGCUUGCAGUGUUUCGCAUGUGGGGCCGAAAUUGGCAAGCACAAGAACAACCACAGCUACCAAUUCAUGGACCCGGGCAACUUCACCGUGUUCAAUGGCGAGAGCUCAUGGACGGCCAAGGAGGACGUGCGGCUUCUGGACGCCAUCGAACAAUACGGCUACGGCAACUGGGUGGACAUUGCCAAACACAUCGAGCGACGCACGCCAGAUGAGGCCCAGGAGAAGUUCGUCACCUACUUCGUGAACGGCGUGAUCGGCCGGCAGACGAUGCCGCCCAUCUCCGAGCUGGAACGGAUGCCCGUGGCCGUGGACCACACGGCGGCUGAUGGCGCCGGCCCGCUCUCCCCCAGUCUGACCAUGGCACCGGGCAUGGCGCCACUGCAGCUGGAGCCCGAACAGGCCGUACAGCUCGGAUACAUGCCGCUCCGAGACGACUUUGAACGGGAGUACGACAACACCUGUGAGACGCUGGUCUCCCAGCUGAACAUCGGCAGUGUCGAGGACGAGGACGUUGAUGUCGCGUUGAAGCUGGCGCACGUCGACAUGUACGUGCAGCGGCAGCGAGAGCGCGCGCGACGGAAGCGCGUGGUGCGCGACUACCAGCUACCGGCGGCGUUCUUCGAGGAGCUGAAGAAGGAGGCGCUGCUUCAGGUGCCGGGAGGCGCGCGCAUGCCCCGCCGCAGGAAGGACAAGGGCCGCACGCUGGCCGACCGACUGCGGACGCUCGGACAGUUCCUGACCAGGAGCGAGUACCAGCAGUUCCAUGACAAUCUGCAGGCGGAGAAGGACCUGGUGUACAGGAUUAAAGAGCUGAUGAGGUACCGCCGGAACGGUAUCACCAAGAUCGCCGACUGUGUGGAGUUUGAGCGCGCCAGGGCCAGGCGCAACGCCGAAAACGGCGGCGAGGACAAAAAGGCCACAAAGCGCAAGAAAAAGCUGCGCUUCUCCCGAAAGAAAGAGCGAAACUCUCGCUACUGGCGCUUCAUCCUCGCUCAGCGGGAGCUUCUCGACAAGCGACAGCAGCAGCAGCAGUCUCAGCCAGGCCGCGGUCGGUCCGGCGGCCGCUGAGGAGCUGCCCCCGUCGCCGCCGUCGCCACCGCCGUACACCGUCGAACCGGAGCCGCUGAACGAGUCCGCCGGCUACCACAUGCUCAGCAAAGCCGAGAAACGGCUGUGCGCCCGCCUCCGUCUGCGGCCUGCCAACUACGUGGCGCUGAAGACGGGUCUCCUCAGCGACCAGCUGAUGCGGUGUCGUGGCGAUCCGGUCCGACCCCGCGCGCUCACAGGCCUCGACAAGCACCACCGCAAACAGAUCCUCUCGUUCCUGGUCACUGCCGGAUGGAUCACCGCCUGAGUUAGAGGAGAGCUGGACCGCUCCGGCCCAGAGUGGCGUCAGUGGUCCAUUAACCCGUUCAGUUUGGGAGGAAUCGGCUGCUGGCCAUAGCUGGGCCGGGGCGGGGCUCAGGGAGUGUUUGGGUAUUAAUGGUAGCUGAUCGGGAUCUGGGUUCUUUUCUUGAAACACUUUUUAUAGAAGGUUUGCCUUGUUUGAUGUUUCUGUUAUCCGGAAAGCAUAGUUUCAUUUCGUAGGGAUAAUUUCACUACCAGGGUUGACUUUGGGGCCGUUUUGGAGCUAAGUCCGAUGUGCUGUGUUUUUGGUGGUAUUGUUCGUUUCCUUUUUUGUGGCCUGGCGGUUGCAUCGGCCGUUUCCUUUCACUCAGACGACAGCAACUGCCGUGUUCUUUCUGAUCCGGUGUCUGUGGAAAAGUGCCAUGGGUGCCUGCGGCGACGGUGGCGCCGCCAGCGGAGGCGGGCGAUACUACAGUGCGGACGGCUCGACGGUGCGCGGGUGGCGGCGACUGGCGGCAGUUGUGUAAACUACAGAGUACCACACCAGUCCGAACCAGUCGUUUAGUCUAGUUCAUUGUGGCAUUGCAUCCCGCUUCCAUCAUGUGAUUGUGCUGUGCAUUAUUUUUGCCGAGAGUUGUCAUUCGUACGAGAUGUUCGUAGAUUAUGCACGUUGUUUGUAAUAUACACCAUACAAAGCACGAAA